ensembl:lncRNA
UAUGUAUUGUCUUGGCACGGCUCGUGCUCCCCCUCCCUUCGCUGCUAAAACUGCAUGCCGUAGUAGACUGCUUUGUACUACGAACUACGAAGGACAACAUUCGGCUGGUGCCAAGCAGCUUUUUUUUUUCGCUUCCCUAAAGUAACUUCCACUGUAAACAGUACGGUCCUAAAACUGACCUGAGGGACGGCCGGGACAAAAGAGGGGGAAGGGGUGGGCUGGGGGCAGAGCGCAGCUCUUCAGACGAGGCAGGACAGACACGAACAGCGCGGUCAGGAGCACCGCUCUCGACUUCGGUGCGUUAACGCCUCCAACCCUCCUUCCUCCCUCCCUCCUUCCACAAAGUCUGCCUUUUAAUUUAUCGACUGGGUGCACUGUGGAGAUCGGAGGGCUCUUCCCCUCACCCCCACCCUUUUCACCCCUGCUCCUGAAGGAGGAGGAGAGGGGGAGGAGGCAGAGCGCCGCACGACGAGCCGACGGCGCUCCUGCCCCGACCUCCAACAGCCCGAUCCGCCUUUGAAGUUUUCCACCCCUCGACUUGAAGUGAGAUCGAUUACAGAAGAACAACAGGGACAAAGAAUCCGCUGCUGUACGUGCAGCCACUUUCCCACGAUCGGGCAGCCAGCUCGACAGCGGCGAGCGAUCACCGCUUCCCCUCCGCCCCUCCUUUGCCACCAUUCAGAAAACGCGCAGCCCCCGCCCGCUUCGCCGGGGAGAGCCGGAGGAGGCGUGGGGCAAAACGAAGAGACAGCUAUAAAGCGGCGCAGGUGAAGCAAGUCGGGAUGACUUAGCAUUGCACAAGGACGAGGCAGCCGUCCGACCUGGCGACUCAAAAUUGAGUCCCUGGAAUAAUAGGUCAGAACUGUGUUUAUGUGCUUAAACGGAGUUCUUGACGGCACAACUGUAAGAAGUAAUUAGCAAAG